ACGAUUUCUUAGGUUCAAACUGCAGCAGCAGACCGAUCUACUGACAGCAUCGAAUGAGUAAACGCGUCUCUCGUCUUGUCGCGUCCUUACUAACUUGUGCAUUCUCGUGUAAUGCCGUUUCUUCAGGGUGUGGUCAGACAGCUGCCGCAGGAGCUUCCCGGUGCUCCUGAAGAGCAGCCCAAAUCCAAAGCUCCUCUUGAAGACCCGAUGCACCACCACGGGCGCCUGAAGGAAGAGAAGAGGCGUUUGCAGAAGGAAUUGGACAAGUAUAAAGCCAAGCUGCUGCGAUCGCAACAACAGUAUAUCGAGCGCUUGAAUUACGGAGUUGGCCUGCAGAUUGCUAUAGAGAAGAUGGAGAGGGAAGUAACAGCUUCUUGUGUGAAACAGCAAAGCGUUCUGGUAGCAUCUGCUGCAGCUGCGGUCAUCAAACAUCUGGAGGAGCGCGUGCAACGGCUCGAAGCUCAAAAUGCCAGACUGGAAGCCACGGCCCAGCAACAAGCCAUGAUCAUCGAGGCCCUCCAGAAAGAGCUGCAAGCCUCUGCCUCAUCACCGCCAAACUGUCAGUCGGCAGUGAUGAGAUGAUGCUGGAGCCAAGGAAGAGCCAAUUCCAGAAAGCAAAGAGCAGAUCUGAAGACACGAGCCUGGAAAACUCUGACUCCACCUCGUGCAGCUCCCCCCCGGCAUUUUGUUCCACACGUGCUGCUCCACCUUGCUGUUCAAUAAACUUUGCCAGCUAGUCUGCGUCUUUGUCGUC
rnacentral:lncRNA from 1 species